rnacentral:rRNA from 1 species
GCUGCCGGCAGGCCUAAUACAUGCAAGUCGAGCGGAAACGAUCCUAGCUUGCUAGGAGGCGUCGAGCGGCGGACGGGUGAGUAAUGCAUAGGAAUCUGCCCGGUAGUGGGGGAUAACUUGAGGAAACUCAAGCUAAUACCGCAUACGCCCUACGGGGGAAAGCAGGGGCUCUUCGGACCUUGCGCUAUCGGAUGAGCUUAUGUCGGAUUAGCUGGUUGGUGAGGUAACGGCUCACCAAGGCGACGAUCCGUAGCUGGUCUGAGAGGAUGAUCAGCCACAUCGGGACUGAGACACGGCCCGAACUCCUACGGGAGGCAGCAGUGGGGAAUAUUGGACAAUGGGGGCAACCCUGAUCCAGCCAUGCCGCGUGUGUGAAGAAGGCCCUCGGGUUGUAAAGCACUUUCAGCGAGGAAGAAUGCUUGUCGGUUAAUACCCGGCAAGGGAGACAUCACUCGCAGAAGAAGCACCGGCUAACUCCGUGCCAGCAGCCGCGGUAAUACGGAGGGUGCGAGCGUUAAUCGGAAUUACUGGGCGUAAAGCGUGCGUAGGCGGCUUGAUAAGCCGGUUGUGAAAGCCCCGGGCUCAACCUGGGAACGGCAUCCGGAACUGUUAGGCUAGAGUGCAGGAGAGGAAGGUAGAAUUCCCGGUGUAGCGGUGAAAUGCGUAGAGAUCGGGAGGAAUACCAGUGGCGAANGCGGCCUUNUGGACUGACACUGACGCUGAGGUACGAAAGCGUGGGUAGCAAACAGGAUAGAUUNCCCUGGUAGUCCACGCCGUAAACNAUGUCNAC